GACGUAUUUUAAUUAAAUCUGGCACCUGGAAAGGGUGAAGAGCCAGCACCAUGUGACCAGCCAGCUGUCCCCGGACCUACCAAGAAGGAAAAAACACACACAUUUUAGAAGUUCAUCUGGGAAGAAUACAAUGGAAACUAUGCCUGGAAACUCCCUUCCUGAAUGGAAUUACC